rnacentral:lncRNA from 1 species
CAACAUCAAUGGUUGCUCUCCGUGUUUGAAUAAUGUGCAACUGUGCAUAUUUUAAUUAUCUAUAUUAAUUAUAUUUCUGACUCAGCAAGUCAAAACAAGUUAUUGAAAUUAUCAUCAAGACAUCGCUAUAGUUCUAUCAGAUAGAUUGUGGUUGUUAGCCCCUAACAAUCCAGAGGUAUGAAGGUCUGGCUUCAUUGAUUCAUGUGGAAGAGCAAAGGACUGGGCUUCAGAAAAGGCUGACUUUGGUCUUGCAAAUGCCAUGGUGGUAAGAUAUAAGAACCACAGUAGGCUUUUUGGAGAGAUGAAUUCAAUGAAGUAAAGAAAACCUCUGAUAAGACUACACAUGGCAGAGUUGUCUCAGCACCUGCUCUGACUGACAGCCCAAAUGAAGCUCCUUUUGAUAGAACACUACCUAAGACAUGCAGUUCCAGGCUUUCUGAAAAGAAACAUGACAACUUGAUUCACUGGCUGGAGUAAAGUGAACUGUUGAUUUUUGUCUACACAUUGGAAGGACAUCAGCUGCCCUAUCAGUGUUAUGUGCAACUGAAAUAAACUCUCAUGCUGCUGUGGAGAAGAAAUGAUGUGUAUGCCAUGAUCAUAGGAACGCAUAACCUUCCGUUUCCUCUUCCUCAUUCACAUCAG